UUCGGUGGCGAUGGCAGGGAGGCAAUACCCGUUCCCAUCCCGAACACGGAAGUCAAGGUCCCUAGCGCCGAUGGUACUGCACAGGAAGCUGUGUGGGAGAGUAGGACGCUGCCGAAG
rnacentral:rRNA from 1 species